rnacentral:rRNA from 1 species
UACGAAGGGGGCUAGCGUUGCUCGGAAUCACUGGGCGUAAAGGGUGCGUAGGCGGGUCUUUAAGUCAGGGGUGAAAUCCUGGAGCUCAACUCCAGAACUGCCUUUGAUACUGAAGAUCUUGAGUUCGGGAGAGGUGAGUGGAACUGCGAGUGUAGAGGUGAAAUUCGUAGAUAUUCGCAAGAACACCAGUGGCGAAGGCGGCUCACUGGUCCAUUACUGACGCUGAGGUGCGAAAGCGUGGGGAGCAACAGG